rnacentral:lncRNA from 1 species
CCUGUGGCUCUCGCGACAGUACUGGUUAAGAAAGAAGUAAAAAUUCAACGGCUGAUCUACUACAUAAGUCGAGUAUUGAGAGAUGCCGAAAUCAGAUACACUAAAUUAGAGAAGCUAACUUAUGCCCUGUUGAUUGCAACCCGAAGGCUCCGACCUUACUUUCAAGGGCACACCAUAACACUGCUCACCGACCAGCCGAUUAGGGCAGUUCUGCAUCG